rnacentral:rRNA from 1 species
AUUGAACGCUGGCGGCAGGCCUAACACAUGCAAGUCGAGCGGAUGAAGGGAGCUUGCUCCUGGAUUCAGCGGCGGACGGGUGAGUAAUGCCUAGGAAUCUGCCUGGUAGUGGGGGAUAACGUCCGGAAACGGGCGCUAAUACCGCAUACGUCCUGAGGGAGAAAGUGGGGGAUCUUCGGACCUCACGCUAUCAGAUGAGCCUAGGUCGGAUUAGCUAGUUGGUUGGGUAAAGGCCUACCAAGGCGACGAUCCGUAACUGGUCUGAGAGGAUGAUCAGUCACACUGGAACUGAGACACGGUACAGACUACUACGGGAGGAAGCAGUGGGGAAUAUUGGACAAUGGGCGAAAGCCUGAUCCAGCCAUGCCGCGUGUGUGAAGAAGGUCUUCGGAUUGUAAAGCACUUUAAGUUGGGAGGAAGGGCAGUAAGUUAAUACCUUGCUGUUUUGACGUUACCAACAGAAUAAGAACCGGCUAACUUCGUG